AUGGGCAGAUCGUCAAAUAUGCACGGACGCAUCGUUUCCUGUGCAUCAUAAUUGACAGAAGUCGUUCGUGGAUCCCCCAUUGCGCGUAUUGGAAAAAGAGACUGUUAUCCUUUUUGCAUGUAUUGAAAUUCAUGUGCAGGAAAACAUGGGGAACCUCUGUGGGCUCCAUGCUACAGUUGUACACGGACCUAUUUCUGGGACAAUUGCUCUACAGCUUGCCAGUGUUGUAGAAUGCUUGCAAAACCAAUAUUUGUUCAUUGGAUAGUUUGCAGGGUCAGGCGCUGCGUGUUUGUUUAUCUAGGACUGCCCCGAUGCGCUUCUACCUAUGCUACAAUUGUGUCUGCCAAGGAUCAUCCACUCACGACGUAUACCGUUGUCGACUGCCUCAGAGCGCGCAUUCGACAUACCUCCCGCGUCUCCGACCACCACUUGGCCCUUCUACCCUCCGAAAGACCUCGUGCUACGUUUUCAGACAUCAUAGUCAAGAACCUAAACAGCAUUCCAUCAGGAUAUACGCCAGCUACGAGAAUUGCAUGUCCGUUGUGGAGCCUCGACCAGCCACAGGUACUCCUUGAAAUUCCGGGUAU
rnacentral:lncRNA from 1 species